GCUGUUGUAGCUUAGUGGUAGAGCGCGCCCUUCGUAAGGGUGAGGUCACGAGUUCAAUCCUCGUCAAUAGUA